rnacentral:rRNA from 1 species
GGCAGCGACAANAUUGAACCUUCGGGUGANUUGUUGGNCGNNGAGCGGCGGACGGGUGAGUAAUGCCUGGGAAUAUGCCUUAACGUGGGGGAUAACUAUUGGAAACGAUAGCUAAUACCGCAUGAUGCCUACGGGCCAAAGAGGGGGACCUUCGGGCCUCUCGCGUUAAGAUUAGCCCAGGUGGGAUUAGCUAGUUGGUGAGGUAAUGGCUCACCAAGGCGACGAUCCCUAGCUGGUCUGAGAGGAUGAUCAGCCACACUGGAACUGAGACACGGUCCAGACUCCUACGGGAGGCAGCAGUGGGGAAUAUUGCACAAUGGGCGCAAGCCUGAUGCAGCCAUGCCGCGUGUAUGAAGAAGGCCUUCGGGUUGUAAAGUACUUUCAGUCGUGAGGAAGGUAGUUGCGUUAAUAGCGUAAUUAUUUGACGUUAGCGACAGAAGAAGCACCGGCUAACUCCGUGCCAGCAGCCGCGGUAAUACGGAGGGUGCGAGCGUUAAUCGGAAUUACUGGGCGUAAAGCGCAUGCAGGUGGUUCGUUAAGUCAGAUGUGAAAGCCCGGGGCUCAACCUCGGAAUUGCAUUUGAAACUGGCGGACUAGAGUGCUGUAGAGGGGGGUAGAAUUUCAGGUGUAGCGGUGAAAUGCGUANAGAUCUGAAGGAAUACCGGUGGCGAAGGCGGCCCCC